AAUAGAAACUAGAUGGUGUUACAUGCAUGUUUUUUUGUGUGGAGAAAAAUAGUGUCCGACAACAUCACACCAACUAUGUUUUCCAUCCUUCAUAAGUUCAGAUACACUUGCAACAUGGAUAAGAACACCGUUUAUCUUGCUCACCUGGAAGUGUGAAAUUGAGAAGAGUAUACAGAAGUUUUGAGCCAGUCGGUGUGGAGGAAGCUCUUUGAUGUCCCUAAUUCAUAUUGCAAUGUAUGUGACUGAGUAGGACUGUUUGUGGAUUCUCUUCCAGCAGCCUAACUACACAGCAUGAAGGCCACACAAAUAACAAUAAUAUCGUCGGAGAUUCAAGUGAUGGAAGCGGCAACUUCAGGGAGAGAAUGACAACAGCGGAUGCUUGCUGACAGUUGGAUUAAGAUCAUACCAAACAAAGCACCUGUGCUUAGGCCUGAAUUGGACGAGGUCUCAGUCCCGAACAAAUCACGAUUAGGAAUGACCCAUCUAGUGAACAUGUUUCUGAUCCGUUGGAUUUCACUUGAACUGAAAGUGCGCGAGCUAUUGUUAUCAACAUAUUCAGGAAAAAAAACUUCAAGAUCAUUAGCAAUCGUGGUCCUACUUGCCACUCAAAAGCAUAACUCAGUUGAUUGGCAUAUAGCUUAAGAUUAGAAGUCAAAUAUUCCUCAAAUGCAUUGAAAUGUGGAGCUCUUUCAAGUUUACAGAACUGAUUGAAUGUGUUAUCUGAGCACAGAGGAUUCCCAUCAAGCAAGAGUGUGACAUUUGGAGGAAGAUUAGUAGCGCCUGAUAUGUUUGCAAAUUGAUUAUUUUGUAACUCUAGUAGCAAUCUUUUAUUAGCAUUUGAAAUCUUGUCCUGCCAAACGCUGGAUGGAACACUUCCACUCUGUCUACAUCUCUCAAAGCAAAACCCAAAUUAUUGUAAGCUUCCAAAAUCUGGGGUCACAUGUAACAACUUGUUUGUAGUGUAAAAUUGCCAUGUCCA